rnacentral:rRNA from 1 species
UGAAUACGAGAUGCUACGGCAUUGAAGCAGUGUAUGUCAGACUUCCAAGAAAAGCUCGCAAUGUCAUAAACAAUAAAUGCCUGUACCAUAACCGACACAGGUGGGUAGGUAGAGUAUACUAAGGGGCGCGAGAUAACUCUCUCUAAGGAACUCGGCGAAAUGACUCCGUAACUUCGGGAGAAGGAGUGCCUUAUUUUAUAAGGUUGCAAUAACAAGAUCCAAGCAACUGUUUACCAAAAACACAGGUCUCCGCUAAGUCGAAAGACGAUGUAUGGGGGCUGACGCCUGCCCAGUGCCAGAAGGUUAAAGAAGUUGGUUAGCUUCGGCGAAGCUGAUGACUGAAGCCCUGGUGAACGGCGGCCGUAACAAUAACGGUCCUAAGGUAGCGAAAUUCCUUGUCGGGUAAGUUCCGACCCGCACGAAAGGCGUAAUGAUUUGGAUACUGUCUCGGAGAGGGGCUCGGUGAAAUAGACUUGUCUGUGAAGAUGCGGACUACCUGCACCUGGACAGAAAGACCCUAUGAAGCUUUACUGUAACUUGAGAUUGAAAUUGGACUUUAUUUGCGCAGUAUAGGUGGGAGACGUUGAGAAUAUUCUUGCGGGAAUAUUGGAGUCAUCAGUGAGAUACCACUCUUGUAAUGUUAGAUUUCUAACCUUGUAUCAUUAUCUGGUCAAAGGACAGUUUCAGGCGGGCAGUUUGACUGGGGCGGUCGCCUCCUAAACGGUAACGGAGGCGCACAAAGGUUUCCUCUGAACGUGUAGAAAUCGUAUCUAGAGUGUAAAGGCAUAAGGAAGCUUGACUGUGAGACCUACAAGUCGAGCAGGGACGAAAGUCGGUCUUAGUGAUCUGACGGUGCUGAGUGGAAAGGCCGUCACUCAACGGAUAAAAGUUACUCUAGGAUAACAGGCUGAUCUCCCCCAAGAGUUCACAUCGACGGGGAGGUUUGGCACCUCGAUGUCGGCUCAUCGCAUCCUGGGGCGGUAGUACGUCCCAAGGGUUGGGCUGUUCGCCCAUGAAAGCGGUACGCGAGCUGGGUUCAGAACGUCGUGAGACAGUUCGGCCCAUAUCCGGUGUAGGCGUUGGAAUAUUGAGAGGAGCCUUCUUUAGUACGAGAGGACCGAGAAGGACAUACCUCUGGUGUACCAGUUAUCGUGCCAACGGUAAACGCUGGGUAGCUAUGUAUGGAGUGGAUAACCGCUGAAAGCAUCUAAGUGGGAAGCCCACCUCAAGGUAAG